rnacentral:rRNA from 1 species
UACGUAGGCAGCGAGCGUUGUUCGGAAUUACUGGGCGUAAAGCGUGCGUAGGCGGUGUCUUAAGUUUGUUGUGAAAUCUCCCGGCUUAACCGGGAGGGUGCGGCGAAUACUGAGAUGCUGGAGUGCCGGAGAGGUAAGCGGAAUUCCUGGUGUAGCGGUGAAAUGCGUAGAUAUCAGGAGGAACACCUGCGGUGUAGACGGCUUACUGGACGGUAACUGACGCUGAGGCACGAAAGCGUGGGUAGCAAACAGG